UCGGGAAUUUUGGGCAAUGGGCGAAAGCCUGACCCAGCAACGCCGCAUGAGGGAUGAAGUAUUUCGGUAUGUAAACCCGAAAGAAUGGGAAGAAUAAAUGACGGUACCAUUUAUAAGCUCCGGCUAACUACGUGCCAGCAGCCGCGGUAAUACGUAGGGAGCAAGCGUUGUUCGGAGUUACUGGGCGUAAAGAGUGCGUAGGCGGUUUUCUAAGUUCGGUGUGAAAUCUCCCGGCUUAACUGGGAGGGUGCGCUGAAGACUGGGAAGCUGGAGUGUGGGAAAGGCAGGCGGAAUUCCUGGUGUAGCGGUGAAAUGCGUAGAUAUCAGGAGGAACACCGGCGGUGUAGACGGCUUGCUAGACCAUAACUGACGCUGAGGCACGAAAGCGUGGGUAGCAAACA
rnacentral:rRNA from 1 species